GAUGAACGCUGGCGGCGUGCAUAACACAUUCAAGUCGAACGGAGCUUUUGAGAUUAAUCCUUCGGGAAGCGUCGAGGAAGCUUAGUGGCGAACGGGUGAGUAACGCGUGAGAAACCUGCCUUUCAGUGGGGGACAACAGUUGGAAACGACUGCUAAUACCGCAUAAUGUAUUUUAGGGGCAUCCCUUUAAUACCAAAGCUUUAUGUGCUGAGAGAUGGUCUCGCGUCUGAUUAGCUAGUUGGUGGGGUAACGGCCCACCAAGGCGACGAUCAGUAGCCGGUCUGAGAGGAUGAACGGCCACAUUGGGACUGAGAUACGGCCCAGACUCCUACGGGAGGCAGCAGUGGGGAAUAUUGGGCAAUGGGGGAAACCCUGACCCAGCAACGCCGCGUGAAGGAAGAAGGUCUUCGGAUCGUAAACUUCUGUCCUUAGGGAAGAUAAUGACGGUACCUUUGGAGGAAGCCCCGGCUAACUACGUG
rnacentral:rRNA from 1 species